rnacentral:lncRNA from 1 species
UGGGCGCCCUCUACCUGACCCCUAGCACCUCAGGACACUUGUUGAUCAUCCAUGAGCAAUGAUGUGUUGUGAUGAUCUUGUGCACCAAACUUUGCUAUAAAAGGCCAUACUUGGUUCACAAAUGAAACACACCUCAAAACACAUCUUCUGAUCAUUCUUGGAGCUCACAAGCUUUCUUCUAACAUUCCUAAGUCGUGCACAAGUCUCUGUAAGUAUGCCAAACCUUCUAUGGCUUUGUUUUUGCUUAGUUUAGCCUAAAAGUCAAUCCGUCGUAACUAACGAUU